UGAAACAAAAUACACAGUGGGCAGUUUGAAUUACUACAAAAAGCAGAGAUUUAUUUAUAAAAUGAGUGGCCUGAAGAUAUCUGAUACUACUCAACUAUCAUUUAAUCACUAAGGAAAAAAUUUAUGCUGUUUUCUUUCAUCUCAGAGCUUGAUGAUUUUACAGGAAAUCUUUUUUAUGUCUCUGCAUGGUUAAGGCUUUAUUAGUAAAUUUCACUGGAACUUUGGUUAAUGGACAAACCCUGGAAAUUAAAAGAUGACUGAAGAGGUAUUGACAACUCUGAAGAGAUUUGUAUUUCUGGAAUUAUGAGUUUGUCUCUAAAAGGAGAAUAAAACUAGGAACCUUGAAGACGGUCCAGAAUAUGUAAAGCCAGAGACACUUAUCAUCCUCUUU
rnacentral:lncRNA from 1 species